rnacentral:rRNA from 1 species
CGCCUUGCCAGCCCGCUCAGAAACUUCAAUGAAUUGACGGGGGCCCGCACAAGCGGAGGAGCAUGUGGUUUAAUUCGAUGAUACGCGAGGAACCUUACCUGGGCUUAAAUGCUUAAUGACGUACUGGGAAACUGGUAUUUCUUCGGACAUUUUGCAAGGUGCUGCAUGGUUGUCGUCAGCUCGUGCCGUGAGGUGUCGGGUUAAGUCCCAUAACGAGCGCAACCCCUAUUGUUAGUUGCCAUCAGGUCAUGCUGGGGACUCUAACAAAACUGCCCGCGUAAGCGUGGAGGAAGGUGGGGAUGACGUCAAAUCAGCACGGCCCUUACGUCCAGGGCUACACACGUGCUACAAUGGCCGGUACAGAGGGCAGCCACUUGGUGACAAGGAGCAAAUCUCAAAAGCCGGUCUCAGUUCGGAUCGGAGUCUGCAACUCGACUCCGUGAAGUUGGAUUCGCUAGUAAUCGUAGAUCAGCAAUGCUACGGUGAAUACGUUCCCGGGCCUU